rnacentral:ncRNA from 1 species
ACCGUGAAAUGGCAAACUUGCCUAAAGGCAGGGGCGCAAAACCAAGGGUCUAAGUUGCAGUGAUGCAAUACGACAGCCUGGUUGCCAAA